rnacentral:pre_miRNA from 14 species
AGCUCGAGUCUCAGGAUGGCGCGCCCAAGGAAACACGAUCCCGGACGAGCCCCCAAAUGAAAGAUCCCCAAAGAGAGACCCUUAUUUAAGUCUUAGGAAAUCGCGGACCCCAGACACAGAGAGACCA